GGGCAGGUACCAAAGUGGACAAAUGGGGCGGGCUGUAAACCCGCAGCGGCAACGCUUCGGAGGUUCGAAUCCUUCCCUGCCCA
rnacentral:tRNA from 1 species